CAAUGCUGUAUGAGCCAAAACCAGGAUCAAUGAGGCUCUUCUUUGAGAUGCUCUGACGAAUCAAGCCGGUGACCUUGUUCCGGCCAAACUUGGAACCAGGAAGAAAAAUAUCUGUUGGGUAAUCAAAGCUCUGCCACAAUGGUAGGUCAGAUGAUGAUGGGCUGUAUGUGACCGUAAGGGCAAGGUUUCCACUGUUCAAGAGAACAGCAGCACCAGUAGUGGUGUUUAUGCUGCUGGUUUGUGUCCUAUUAUUGACAAUCUGAGUGGACCAAACUACAGAAUCGUUGUUCAAGAUGACAAGAUUGCCAUCGCUCGAUAUCUUGAGCUGUGUUAGGUUGAGGUUGGGGCCAGUGAUGGGCUGGUCCCUAUUAGCAACCCACACAGUAGUAAAAACUGGGAUCUUGUUGAACCAUAUGCCAAGGUACCAGCUGGAGCUGGUGGUAUUCUGGGACUUACUGAUGAUGCUUGCUGCUGGCUGAAAGAAGCCGAGCGCGAACUUGCCGUUUCUUGAGACGAGCUUGCUGCCGACGGCGAGCGAUUGGCCCGCCGUGAGGUUAUCGCUUGCAGCUGCGGACGAGGGGCACCAACUAGGAAUGUGCAAGAGGAGGAGAAGCCCGAGUGAUAAUAUGUGGAGGGGAGGCAUGGAGGAUAGUGUGAAUGUUGCUUUGCUCUGCUAUUUGGAUUCUGGAGAAGAGAAGAGGGUGUAUAUACAGAUAAAAUGGAAGAAGAGCAUGAGUGUGAACAAGCAGGGAGACAGGGGAAGUCAAAGAUUGGUGAUUAGGACAGCACUAGCUACUCGUAACCCACUUGGGCUGCCACUUGAGCUAGGGCUAUCAUCUCUAUAUACCUACUAGCACUAGCUGCAUGCCCACUUGGACUUGGGGUUAUAUCUCUGUAUACAAUACAAGGAGCAGAAGGCGGUAGCAGUAUUGCCAUGAAAACCGUGUGCUACCCGGCAUGAGGCACACCAAGGAGGACUUCCAAUGAAGCUUCCACUACACUAAUUGGCUGGAUCCACCCUCAGAGUGCUCACUGGAUUAACCCCCUUCAUGACUGAAAUGAAAUCCAACUUCCCUCAUAGUGCAGAAGGUCAGAAAGCAACUCAGAACGAACCUAACUGAUAUAUUGAUGCUGGUUUGGUAUUGUUUAUCUUCAUAUUUCUGUAUAUAGGCUUUGUCGAACGUAGAAAGCAUUGACUUUUGGACUCGGUUUAUACGCCAUCUACUUGGGACAGAGGGAGUAGUAUUUCCAGGUUCAGGGCAAAGGAAAUGAAGCAUACAUCAAUAUAUAUCUAAAAGAACAGGCUGCCUCCUCUUGUAAAUUGACAGAAUAGGACGAAUGGCAACACAUGAAACAGCAAGUGAUAAAUAAAAUCUAUCCUUUCCUAAAGAGAGAAGAAAUAGCAAUCGACAGGCUGAUGUAGAACAGGACGAAAUGUAAGAGGCUGAGCAGCUUAACUUUCUUUGUAGAGGACAAGAGGAUAUACUAGACAAGAAGGCUUACCAGCAGCAGCCAUUGCUCAGCUUGUAGUAGAACCGAAUCAGGGAGGCCGCCGCCGCCGUGAACCACCGGAAUGUAUGUAAAUGGAGCCCGCGUGACGGAGACUCGGCAGCUCGCCGUCCCGAUGUCCGUUCCCUAUUCCCCUCGCCGGCCUCUCUAUUGUCCCGCCGCUACACAAGCCUGAAUGCUCACCGCUUGCCGUGCUGUGGCCUCUCUAUCGGCGGUUCCCUCCCCCUCCCCUGCCCCGCGUGAUUCGAACUGUCUAGACCGCCGGCCAACGGCAGAAGGUGAGGUCCGGCGGCCGUCGGAGGGGAGAGCCGCGGCAGACUGAGGGCCAGUUCUUUUGAGCAGAUUAUAGAGAAUCUCAGCCCCGAAAAUCCCGAGCCAAAAGAACUCGAUUGACCUUCCAAAAUCUCGACCAGAUUAUGUAGAAUCCUAAUGCAAUUCAAAAUCCCACGAAAACCUGGUUUCUCCCACAAUCCCAGGAUUCUCGCUAGUCCCACAAAAGAAAACGUUUCGAAAUAAAACUAUGCCCCUAUUGUAUCAGGUAAUUACGGGCAAAAUGCCAUCGAACUAUCAUCCCCUAGAACCAAAAAUGACCGAGCUCCUCGUCUCGCUUGCCCGUUUCCCCUCUGUCCUCGCUGCGCUCCCCUCCCGCCUCACCUCGGCGCGCGUCUCGCCGUCGCUGCCAGCCAAGCCGUCGCCGCCCCCACUGGCCAUCUUGGCUCCUCAGGCCGGCCCCGCCCCGUCAAUCCCUCCCCACCUUGCCGUCAACCCCGCCCCGCCCCAUAGUUCGCCCUGCCCCAUGGCUAGGGUUACGGCGCCGCCGCCGUCGGCCAAGCCAGGCCCCGUCCCGCCUCCCUCCUCAAAUCCGCCCCACCCUGCAGUCUGCCCCCAGCUAGCUAGUUUCGACGCUCACGUGAGUUCUUUUUCCCAUCUCUGUUUCUUCCCUCUUCAUUUUGUCUGCUAUUGCUCAUAGAUAAAAUAGCUAUUUGUUAGAUGGAUGGAUGGAUUGAUGCUUGAAUUUGCUAGAUGUUUCCUGAUGUUAAUGCAAAUGUGCUAAUAUUGAAUAAUAAUGGUAGAUGGAGAAAGUUAACAAAUCAUCAAACAACUUCUGUCUAAGGGCAGUAUAGACAUUUCAACACACAACGCUCUCCGAAAUCUCAAACUACAAUCUCUGAAAAGAACUCGACGACAGAUUCUGGGAGCAGCAGAUUCUGGAAGAAUUUUCCAUAAUCCUGAUUCUCUAGAAUCCAGGGUGAAAAGAACUGGGCCUGAGUCCAUGGUGAUAAGUGAUUUAGCGAAUGGUUCACAGCCGUCGGAUAGAUGAAAUUAAGUUACACUAAAUUAAGUUAGAAGACCCUCAGGCAACACCUCAUUUCACUUUAUUCCGUUUUGUUUUUUCAAAAUAUUAUAACUUUUGAACCGGACAUCAGAACGAUCCGUUUUUACGACUGUGUUUCUUACGACAAGCUCUUCAAAACUAGAUCACAUAUAAAUAGGUUUCGACAAACUUUUUUUAUCAACUGUGGGGUGAUAUUUAGGCAACUUUAGUGCUAAAUAAAAGCAACUUCUUAUUAGUGUGGGUAGUAUGAUCGUCUAUCAACGAAAAUCCUUUAAAAUUAUCUACCAUGAGUAGAAGGUUAAAUAACUUCACCCUUUAGCAACCACAUGGCAAAUGUGGUCAGCUAUUUCCAAACUGAAAUGGCUAAGUUAUGCAGCGGAUGUGCAUGCUCGGCUCCGCAUGCGUGGGAUGUCUAUUAAUUCAUGUAUGAAAAAAAUUAAAAUGCUAUAACUAUCAAAUCGUAUGUCGAUUAUGAUAUGUUUUCACCGUUGGGUUCCUCGUGACAAACUCUUCAAAACGAGAUCCCAUAUGAAUAUGUUUUGAAGAAUUUUUUUCAAAAACAACUUCGAUGCUAGAUGAGGCAACUUUAGUGCUAAACAGAAGUACUUUGAUGCUAGAUGUUUUGCAUUGUGUGUGUAUACAUGAGUUGCUUGUUGAAUGCACUGGAGUUGCGCAAAAAACACACUAAAAGUUGCUUAAUCUUUUGUGAUACUCGAGUGCAAUUAUGGCAAUUAUUCACAAAUAGCAGACAACUGAACAUUAACCGUAGGCAAUUGACCAUCAGUAACAGGCAACGGAGCAUCAAAAUUAAACAACUUUAUAGUAUUUUGUAGGCAACUGAGCGUCAAAAUUGAGCAAUUCUAUAGUAUUUGUAGGCAACUGGUCAUCAUUGUUUAAUUAUGUAAAGCUUUUAGAGGUGAAUCUAGUCAACUGUUAGUUGUGGUAACCAACUUAGAAGAAUUUUUCGCUGAUAGAUAGUCAUACUAAGGGGGGGAACGAGUUGCUUGCCUAUAGCACUAAAGUUGCCUCAUCUAGAACACAAAGUUGCUCAAAAAAAAGUUCAUCGAGACCUAUCCAUAUGAGAUCUAGUUUUGAAGAGCUCGUCGUAAGAAACACAUUCGUGAAAACGGAUCAUUAUUCUGACGCCUGGUUCAAAAGUUACGAGCUUUUGAAUUUUGUGAAACGCUAAUAAAUGCACGGCGUUGGCUGUCUUGAGGUGCGUCAGCUACCUCGCGCGGACACCGCUACGCUCGGUAGUCGCGUCCAAAUUAAAUUCAUGUAAGUGAUGUGUAGUACACUGCUCCAUUGUCUUUUUAGGGACUCCAUUGUUUAUCUUCCCCAUUUAGAAAAAUGAGGUUAGGGCAUUCUCAACCUCCUGCAUCAAAACGGAUGUGAACAUCUGGACAACACGAUUGAAAAACAUUGUGUCAUCCAAUGUCAUACAUCAUAGGCCCGUCCGCACAUACGAAUUUUCGCAAAUGGAAGCAAAACAAGGAAAGGUUUUCGGUCGUUCGGACAACCACCACAUAGGCGUCUCACAAGUCGGACCGAGGUAAAAUCGAGGAGGAGCACACGCAUUUGGACAAUUCUGCAUUGUUUUCGCAUGAAAGCUCGUAUUUUCCCGUCUCCGCUUAGAUUAUUGUUGUCGCCCACCCUAGUUCCCGCCCAUUCCUCAUCCAUCGCUGCGAUGGAGUUGGAGGGGGUACUCACGGAGAUGUUCAUAGUCUCGCAGGGCCUGAAGCCGAAGAACCUAUCGAUGAUGGUCACCGCAAGGUCAACACGACAAUGUCAGUCCCCGCAAACAGAAGAAGAGGGAGGAUGCUUGGGUGGCGGUCGGUCACCCAGUACCUCAUCCCACAAAGUGUGUGAAUGGGCGGGUGUUAGUCGUGCAAUUGUUGUCUCCCUUGUCGAUGCAGCUGCGCUUGACAUACUACUACGGCGCCCUGCACCUCGGUCUGCAACAACAGUCUGCGCCCACCUACAUCGUCGACCAUCACAUGCCAUACAACGUUGACCUCAACAUGAGUACACCUUCACGAAGUCGUAAUCGUCGGCACUUGUACAUUCACGAAUGUCGGUCCCACACCCUUCGGUGUCUGGUUUCUAUUUGUCAGAAUGUCUCAAUCAGACGCGGUGGUGGAUAAGGAAGAGACGCUCAUGAACAUGAUCCAUGAUACGGUAGUCAUGAAGAUGUGCAAGUGGGGAUCUCCUAGUAGAAGGUGGAUACCCAACAGAUGCACACCCAGCAGACGCAUACCCAGAUAUCGACACCCACCAAAUGCAUACCCACCACGCGAACGAUGACCCAGAUGACAUAUGGGCACCAACUGUGGGCUAAAUAAGAGAAGGGCAGAAAUUUUCAACUUGAAGGAGGAUAAAUUGUUGGUUUAUGUGUGGUUGGCCACAAGCAUGGAUCCAAUUCAUGGCAUACAGCAAAGGGGUUGAAUAUUUUGGACAAGUGUGCAUAAUUGAUUUCAUGAGAAAUUUCACUAUGAUCCCUACCACACGAAAAUGAUCCAUGAGCGCAACGCGAAGUCUCUCACUAGUCGAUGUUACAAUAUUUUAAGAGGUCAUGAGCAAGUAUUGCGACUUAUACAAACAAUUGCAAAUCCAGUGGCCAAGUGGUGUGGCAUUCCAAGAGAUCGUAAGUGUUUUGUUGCUCAAUGUUUUUAAGGAACGUUGCAUGGGAAACAAAAAAAAUCAUAUGCACACAUAAGAUCUAUCCAUGGUGAUGACCAUCUACGAGAGGAGAGAUCGGAUCCACAUACCCUUGUAGAUCACUAAGCGGGAAGUGUUAAGAAACACGGUUGAUGUAGUCGAACGUCUUCAUGAUCCAAUCACGAUCCGUCCCAUGAACUCCGUCCCGAUCUAGCGCCGAACGGACGACACCUCCGGGUUCAACACAUGUACAGCUUGAUGACGAUCUCCGCCUUCUUGAUCGAGCAAGAGAGAUGAAGAGGUAGUUGAAUUCUCCCGCAGCAUGACGACGUGACGGCAAUGGUGGUGGAGUUACUCCCGCAGGGCUUCGCUAUUGUUGGAAAUAUGCCCUAGAGGCAAUAAUAAAUUGGUUAUUAUUAUAUUUCCUUGUUCAUGAUAAUCGUUUAUUAUCCAUGCUAUAAUUAUAUUGAUUGGAAACUCAAAUACAUGUGUGGAUACAUGGACAAAACACUGUCCCUAGUAAGCCUCUAGUUGACUAACUCGUUGAUCAAAGAUGGUUAAGGUUUCCUAGCCAUAGACAAGUGUCGUCACUUGAUAACGGGAUCACAUCAUUAGGAGAAUGAUGUGAUGGACAAGACCCAAACUAUGAACGUUGCAUAUGAUCGUGCCAGUUUAUUGCUAUUGUUUUUUGCAUGUCAAUGUAUCUGUUCCUAUGACCAUGAGAUCAUGCAACUCCCGGACACCGGAGGAAUACCUUGUGUGUAUCAAACGUUGCAACGUAACUGGGUGACUAUAAAGGUGUUCUAUAGGUAUCUCCGAAGGUGUCUGUUGGGUUGGCGUGAUCCGAGACUGGGAUUUGUCACUCCGUAUGACGGAGAGGUAUCUCGGGGCCCAUUCGGUAAAACAACAUCACAAUAAGCCUUGCAAGCAAUGUGACUAAGGAAUUAGCCACGAGAUCUUUUAUUAUGGAACGAGUAAAGAGACUUGCCGAUAAUGAGAUUGAACUAGGUAUAGAGAUACCGACGAUCGAAUCUCGAGCAAGUAACAUAACGAAGGACAAAGGGAACAGCAUACGGGAUUAACUGAAUCCUUGACAUAGAGGUUCAACCGAUAAAGAUCUUCGUAGAAUAUGUAGGAGCCAAUAUGGGCAUCCAGGUCCCGCUAUUGGUUAUUGACCGUAGAGGUGUCUCGGUCAUGUUUGCAUAGUUCUCGAACCCGCAGGGUCUGCACACUUAAGGUUCGGUGACGUUUCGGUAUAGUUGAGUUAUAGGUGUUGGUAACUAAAAGUUGUUCGGAGUCCCGGAUGAGAUCCUGGACAUCACGAUGGAGCUCCGGAAUGGUCCGGAGGUAAAUAUUGAUUUAUAGGAAGUCCUGUGUUUGGUCACCGGAAAAGUUUCGGGCUCAUCGGUAGUGUACUGGGAGUGCCGGGAGGGUACCGGGUACCGUCGGGAGGGGUGUCACGCCCCGAGGGGCCUUAUGGGCUGUGGGAGGAUACAAAUCAGCCCCUAGUGGGGUGACAUAAGCUCCCACUAAGGCCCAUGAAGUUUGAGAGGCAAAAAACCCAAAGGUGGAAAGGGUUUCCAAGUGGAAAGGAGGAAUCCUACUCCUAGUAGGAUUGCAGUAGGACUCCUCCACCUCCAAUUUCGGCCAAACCUUGAGGGUUUGAGGCUGCCUCCUCCCCUCCCUCCCUCCUAUAUAUACUAGAGGUAUUGACGGUUUUUGAGACACAGAAAAACAACACGUGUUGCCAUUUCUCUCUAGAUAUGUUUCUCCUCUAGUCUAGUUUCAGUGGUGCUUAGGCGAAGCCCUGCUAGAAUAGCUCCACCACCACCACCACCAUGCCACCAUGUUGGAGAACUCAUCUAACUCUUCGCCCCUCUUGCUGGAUCAAGAAGGUGGGGAUCAUCAUCGAGCUGUACGUGUGCUGACCGCGGAGGUGUCGUCCGUUCGGCACUAGAUCGGGAUGGAUCGUGAUGGGAUCGCGGGGCGGGCUGCGAUUUGGAUCGCGAAGAUGUUCCACUACAUCAACCGCGUUAUAUAUGCUUCAACUUAACGAUCUACAAGGGUAUGUAGAUGCACUCUCCCCUCUCGUAGAUGAUCAUCGCCAUGGAUAGGUAUUGCGUGUGCAUAGGAAAUUUUUGUUUCCCAUGCGACGUUCCCCAACAAUGGCAUCAUGAGCUAGGUUCAUGCGUAGAUGAUAUCUCGAGUAGAACACAAAGGAUUUUGUGGGCGUUGAUGUUCAAUUUGCUGCCCUCCUUAGUCUUUUCUUAAUUCAGUGGUAUUGUUGGAUUGAAGCGGUCCGGACCAACUUUACUCGUACGCUUACGAGAGACCGGUUUCAUUGACUAACAUGCAAUUUGUUGCAUAAAGAUGACUGGCGGGUGUCUGUUUCUUCAACUUUAGUUGAAUUGAUUUGACCGAGGCGGUCCUUGGAGAAGGGUAAAUAGCAAUUUGCAUAUCACCGUUGUGGCUUUGCGUAAGUAAGAUGCGAUCAUACUAGAUACCCAUAGCAGCCACGUAAAAAUUGCAGCAACAAAUUAGAGGACGUUUAACUUGUUUUUGCAGGGUAUGCAUGUGAUGUGAUAUGGCCAAAUACAUGAUAUGAUAUAUUGGAUGUAUGAGAUGAUCAUGUUGUAAUAGUUAAAUAUCGACUUGCACGUCGAUGCUACGGCAACCGGCAGGAGCCAUAGGGUUUUCUUUAAACUAAUGUUUGUGCUUGCAGAUGCUUUUACUAUAUCGCUAGGUAGUAGAUUUAGUAGUAAUAGCAUAUAUAGCACGACAACAUCGAUGGCAGCACGAUGAUGGAGAUCAUGAUGAUGAAGAUCAUGGUGCGGCGCUGGUGACGAUGGAGAUCAUGUCGGUGCUUUGGUGAUGGAGAUCAAGAAGCACAAGUUCAUGGCCAUAUCAUGUAACUUAUGAUUUGCAUGUGAUGUUAAUCCUUUUAUGCACCUUAUUUUGCUUAGGACGACGGUAGCAUUAUAAGGUGAGCCCUCACUAAAAUUUCAAGAUGAAAUUGUGUUCUCCCAGAUUGUGCACUGUUGCGACAGUUCUUCGUUUCGAGACACCACGUGAUGAUCGGGUGUGAUAGACUCAACGUUCACAUAAAACGGGUGCCUCGGGUUAAACUCGAGGAGCCUAGCAUGUACGGACAUGGCCUCAGAACACAAGAGACCAAAAGGUCAAGCAUGAAUCAUAUAGUUGAUAUGAUCAACAUGGAGAUGUUCACCAGUGAAACUAUACUCAACUCACGUGAUGAUCGGACUUGAGUUAGUGGAUUUGGAUCAUGCGCCACUCAAAUGACUAGAGGGAUGUCUAUUUGAGUGGGAGUUUAUUAGUAAUAUGAUUAGCUAAACUCAAUUAUCAUGAACAUAGUCCAAAUGUCUUUGCAAAUUAUGUUGUAGCUUGCGUUGUAGCUCUACUGUUUUGAUAUGUUCCUAGAGAAAAUUUAGUUGAAAGAUGAUAGUAGCAAUUAUGCGGACUGGGUCUGUAAACUGAGGAUUGUCCUCAUUGCUACACAGAAGGCUUAUGUCCUUAAUGCACCGCUCAGUGUGCUAAACCCAGAGUGUCGUCUGUAGAUGUUGCGAACAUCUGACAUACACGUUUUUAUGACUACAUGAUAGUUCAGUGCGUAAUGCUUAGAAGUAAGGCGUCGAAGACGUUAUGAACGUCACGGGACAUAUGAGAUGUUCCAAGAGAUGAAAUUAGGAUUUCAGGCUCGUGCCCGUGUUGAGAGGUAUGAGACCUUCGACAUGAUUCUUUGCCUACAAAGUAAGGGAGAAAAGCUCAAUUGUUGAGCAUGUGCUCAGAUUGUGUGGGUGCUACAAUCGCUUGAAUCGAGUGGGAGUUGAUCUUGCAGAUAAGAUAGUGAUUGGCAUAGUUCUCCAAAGUGAGUGCCACCAAGCUACAGAGCUUCGUGAUGAACUAUAACAUGCCAGGGAUAGAAUUGAUGAUCCUUGAGCUAUUUGCGAUGUUUGACAUCGCGAAGGUAGGAAUCAAGUAGGACCGUCAAGUGUUGAUGGUUAGUAGAACCAGUAGUUUCGGGAAGGGUAAGGGUUAAAAGGGAUGCUUUAUGAAAUGGAAAACCAGUUGCCACUCUAGUAAGGAAACCCAAGGUUGAACCCAAACCCGAGACUAAGUGCUUCUAUUAUGAGGGGAACAGUCCCUGAAGCGGAACUACCCUAGUUACUUGGUAGAUAAGAAGGCUGGCAAAGUGUGACAGCUCGAUUCCGACGUUCCAGAAGAUUCCCCUUUUCUUUCUGUUUUCGUCGUGUGGUUGUUUUAUUUUGUUGGUUGCAUCAUCAUUUACUUUGCAUCUGUUGGAAAUAUGCCCUAGAGGCAAUAAUAAAUUAUUUAUUAUUAUAUUUCUUAGUUCAUGAUAAUCGUUUAUUAUCCAUGCUAUAAUUGUAUUGAUUGGAAACACAAUACUUGUGUGGAUACAUAGACAAAACACUGUCCCUAGUAAGCCUCUAGUUGACUAGCUCGUUGAUCAAAGAUGGUCAAGGUUUCCUGGCCAUAGGCAAGUGUUGUCACUUGAUAAUGGGAUCACAUCAUUAGGAGAAUCAUGUAAUGGACUAGACCCAAACUAAUAGACGUAGCAUGUUGAUCGUGUCAUUUUCUUGCUACUGUUUUCUGCGUGUCAAGUAUUUGUUCCUAUGACCAUGAGAUCAUAUAACUCACGGACACCGGAGGAAUGCUUUGUGUGUAUCAAACAUCGCAACGUAACUGGGUGACUAUAAAGAUGCUCUACAGGUAUCUCCUAAGGUGUUCGUUGAGUUAGUAUGGAUCGAGACUGGGAUUUGUCACUCCGUGUGACGGAGAGGUAUCACGGGGCCCACUCGGUAAUACAACAUCACACACAAGCCUUGCAAGCAAUGUGACUUAGUGUAAGUUACGGGAUCUUGUAUUACGGAAUGAGUAAAGAGACUUGCCGGUAAACGAGAUUGAAAUAGGUAUGCGGAUACUGACGAUCGAAUCUCGGGCAAGUAACAUACCGAAGGACAAAGGGAAUGACAUACGGGAUUAUAUGAAUCCUUGGCACUGAGGUUCAAACGAUAAGAUCUUCGUGGAAUAUGUAGGAUCCAAUAUGGGCAUCCAGGUCCCGCUAUUGGAUAUUGACCGAGGAGUCUCUCGGGUCAUGUCUACAUAGUUCUCGAACCCGCAGGGUCUGCACACUUAAGGUUCGACGUUGUUUUAUGCGUAUUUGAGUUAUAUGGUUGGUUACCGGAUGUUGUUCGGAGUCCCGGAUGAGAUCACGGACGUCACGAGGGUUUUCGAAAUGGUCCGGAAACGAAGAUUGAUAUAUAGGAUGACCUCAUUUGAUUACCAGAAGGUUUUCAGAGUUACCGGGAAUGUACCGGGAAUGACGAAUGGGUUCCGGGAGUUCACCGGGGGGGCCCACCCACCCCGGGGAAGCCCAUGGGUGUUUGGGGUGCCGCACCAGCCCUUAGUGGGCUGGUGAGACAGCCCAAGAGAGGCCUAUGCGCAUAGGAAAGAAAAUCAAAGAGGAAAGGAAAAAAAAGAAGGAGGUGGGAAAGGGAAGAAGGACUCCACCUUCCAAACCAAGUGGAUUUCGGUUUGGGAGGGGGAGACCUUCCCCCUUGGCUCGGCCGACUCCCUUGGGAGUCCUUGGACCCCAAGGAAAGUCUCCCCCCUCCUCCUCCUAUAUAUAGUGGGGUUUUAGGGCUGAUUUGAGACAACUUUGCCACGGCAGCCCGACCACAUAUCUCCACGGUUUUACCUCUAGAUCGCGUUUCUGCGGAGCUCGGGCGGAGCCCUCCUGAGACAAGAUCAUCACCAACCUCCGGAGCGCCGUCAUGCUGCCGGAGAACUCUUCUACCUCUCCGUCUCUCUUGCUGGAUCAAGAAGGCCGAGAUCAUCGUCGAGCUGUACGUGUGCUGAACGCGGAGGUGCCGUCCGUUCGGCACUAGAUCGUGGGACUGAUCGCGGGAUAGUUCGCGGGGCGGAUCGAGGGACGUGAGGACGUUACACUACAUCAACCGGUUCACUAACGCUUUUGCUGUACGGUCUACAAGGGUACGUAGAUCACACAUCCCCUCUCGUAGAUGGACAUCACCAUGAUAGGUCUUCAUGCGCGUAGGAAAAUUUUUGUUUCCCAUGCGACGUUCCCCAACAGUGGCAUCAUGAGCUAGGUUCAUGCGUAGAUGUCUUCUCGAGUAGAACACAAAAGUUUUUGUGGGUGGUGAUGUGCGUUUUGCUGCCCUCCUUAGUCUUUUCUUGAUUCCGCGGUAUUGUUGGAUCGAAGCGGCUCGGACCGACAUUACUCGUACGCUUACAAAAGACUGGUUUCAUCGCUACGAGUAAUUCAGUUGCUCAAAGAUGACUGGCGGGUGUCAGUUUCUCCAACUUUAGUUGAUUCGGAAUUGACCGAGGAGGUCCUUGGAUGAGGUUAAAUAGCAACUCAUAUAUCUCCAUUGUGGUGUUUGCGUAAGUAAGAUGCGAUCCUACUAGAUACCCAUGGUCACCACGUAAAACUUGCAACAACAAAAUUAGAGGACGUCUAACUUGUUUUUGCAGGGUAUGCUUGAUGUGAUAUGGACAACGAUGUGAUGUGAUAUAUUGGAUGUAUGAUAUGAUCAUGUUGUAAUAGUUAAUAUCGACUUGCACGUCGAUGGUACGGCAACCGGCAGGAGCCAUAGGGUUGUCUUUAUAACUAACGUUUGUGCUUGCAGAUGCGUUUACUAUUUUGCUAGGAUGUAGCUUUAGUAGUAAUAGCAUGAGUAGCACGACAACCCCGAUGGCGACACGUUGAUGGAGAUCAUGGUGUGACGCCGGUGACAAGAAGAUCGUGCCGGUGCUUUGGUGAUGGAGAUCAAGAAGCACGUGAUGAUGGCCAUAUCAUGUCACUUAUGAAUUGCAUGUGAUGUUAAUCCUUUUAUGCACCUUAUUUUGCUUAGAACGACGGUAGCAUUAUGAGGUGAUCUCUCACUAAAAUUUCAAGACGAAAUUGUGUUCUCCCCGACUGUGCACCGUUGCUACAGUUCGUCGUUUCGAGACACCACGUGAUGAUCGGGUGUGAUAGACUCAACGUUCACAUACAACGGGUGCAAAACAGUUGCGCACGCGGAACACUCGGGUUAAGCUUGACGAGCCUAGCAUGUGCAGACAUGGCCUCGGAACACAUGAGACCGAAAGGUCGAGCAUGAAUCGUAUAGUUGAUAUGAUUAGCAUAGAGAUGCUUACCACUGAAACUAUUCUCGACUCACGUGAUGAUCGGACUUGAGAUAGCGGAUUUGGAUCAUGUACCACUCAAAUGACUAGAGAGAUGUACUUUUUGAGUGGGAGUUCUUAAGUAAUAUGAUUAAUUGAACUAAUUGUCAUGAACAUAGUCUAAUGGUCUUUGCGAAUUACGAUGUAGCUUGCGCUAUAGCUCUACUGUUUUUAUAUGUUCCUAGAGAAAAAUUUAGUUGAAAAUUGAUAGUAGCAAACUUUGCAGACUGAGUCUGUAAAACCGAGGAUUGUCCUCGUUGCUACGCAGAAGGCUUAUGUCCUUAAUGCACCACUCGGUGUGCUGCACCUCGAGCGUCGUCUGUGGAUGCUAUGAACAUCCGACAUACACGUUUCUGAUGACUACACGAUAGUUCAGUGCAAAAUACUUAAUGGCUUAAGAAGCAAGGCGCCGAAAACGUUGUAAAACGUCACGGAACAUAAGUGAUGUUCUAAAGAGAUGAAAUUGUUAUUUCAUGCUUGUGCCCUUGUUAAGAGGUACGAGACCUCCAACAAGAUUCUUUGUCCACAAAGUAAAGGAGAAAAGCUCAAUCGUUGAGCGUGUGCUCAGAUUGUCUGAGUACGACAAUCACUUGAAUCAAGUGGGAGUUAAUCUUCCAGAUGAGAUAGUGAUGGUUCUCCAAAGUCACUGCCACCAAGCUGUGAGAGCUUCGUGAUGAACUAUAACAUAUCAAGGAUAGAUACAAUUAUCCUUGAGCAAUUCGCGAUGUUUGACACUGCGAAAGUAGAAAUCAAGAAGGAGCGUCAAUAGUUGAUGGUUUGUAAAACCACUAAGUUUCAAGAAAGGCAAGGGCUAGAAGGGAUACUUCGUGAAACGGCAAAACAGUUGCUGCACUAAUGAAGAGACCCAAGAUUAAACCCAAACCCGAGACUAAGUGCUUCUGUAAUGAGGGGAACAGUCACUGAGGCGGAGCAACUCUAGAUACUUGGUAGAUAAGAAGGCUGGCAAAAGUCGAAAGAAGUGUAUUUGAUAUACAUGAUGCUGAUGUGUACUUUACUAGUACUCCUAGUAGCAUGAGGGUAUUGGAUACUGGUUCGGUUGCUAAGUGAUUAGUAACACGAAAUAAAAGCUACGACAUAAACGGAGACUAGCUAAAGGCGAGGUGACGAUACGUGUUGGAAGUGUUUCCAAGGUUGAUAUGAUCAAACGUCGCACGCUCCCUCUACCAUCGGGAUUGGUGUUAAACCUAAAUAAUUGUUAUUUGGUGCUUGCGUUAAGCAUGAACAUGAUUGGAUCGUGUUUAUUGCAAUACGAUUAUUCAUUUAAGGAGAAUAAUGGUUACUCUAUUUUCUUGAAUAUUCACCUUCAAUGGUUUAUUGAAUCUUGAUCGUAGUGUUACACAUGUUCAUGAUAUUGGUGCCAAAAGAUAUGAGUUAAUGAUGAUAGUACCACUUACUUGUGGCACUGCCGCUUGAGUCAUGUUAGUAUAAAUUGCAUGAAGAGGCUCCAUGCUGAUGGAUCUUUGUACUCACCUGAUUUCGAAUCACUAGUGACAUGCAAAUCAUACCACAUGAGCAAGGCCUUGUUUUCAUUGAGAUGAAAUAAGAUAGUAACUUGUUGGAAGUGAUACAUUUUGAUGUAUGCAGUCCAAUGGGUGCUGAGGCACGUAGUGGAUGUCAUUAUGUUCUUACUUCACUUACGAUUUGAGUAGAUACAGGAGUAUUUACUUAAUGAAUCACAAGUCUGAAAUGUUGAAAAGUUCAAUUCCGUUUCAGAGUGAAGUUCGUCGUAACAAGAGGAUAAACUGUCUACGAUAUGAUCAUGGAAAUGAAUAUCUGAGUUACGAGUUUUGGUACGCAGUUAAGACAAUGUGGAAAUUGUUUCGCAGUUCAUGCCACCUGGAACAUCAUAGUGUGAUGAUGUGUCUGAACGUCAUAGCCACGCACUUAUUUGGUAUGGUGCAUACUAUGAUGUCUCUUAUCGAAUUACCACUAUCGUUUAUGGGUUAUGCAUUAGAGACAACCGCACUCACUUUAAAUAGGGCACCGCGUAUUUCCGUUGAGACGACACAGUAUAGACUGAGGUUUAGAGAAAUCUAAACUGUCGUUUCUUGAAAGUUUGGGGCUUCGACACUUAUGUGAAAAAGUUUCAGUCUGAUAAGCUCGAACCCAAAGCGGAUAAAUGCAUCUUCAUAGGAUAUCCAAAACAGUUGGGUACAUCUCCUAUCUCAGAUCCGAAAGCAAAGUGUUUGUUUCUAGAAAUGGAUCCUUUCUCGAGGAAAGGUUUCUCCCGAAAGAAUUGAGUGGGAGGGUAGUAGAACUUGAUGAGGUUAUUGAACCAUCACUUCAACCAGUGUGUAGCAGGGCGCAGGAAGUUGUUCCUGUGGCGCCUAUACCAAUUGAAGUGGAAGCUGAUGAUGGUGAUCAUCAAGCAUCGGAUCAAGUUACUACAAGCCUCGUAGGUUAACAAGGUCGCAUACUACUACAGAGUGGUACGGUAACCCUGUCUUGGAGGUCAUGUUGUUGAGCAACAAUGAACCUACGAGUUAUGAAGAAAGCGAUGGUGAGCCCAGAUUCCGACAAAUGGCUGGAAGCCAUGAAAUCCGAGAGAGGAUCCAUGUAUGAAAACAAAGUGUAGACUUUGAAAGAACUACUUGAUGGUCAUAAGACUAUUGAGUAAAGAUGGAUCUUUAAAAGAAUACAGACGAUGAUGGUGAUAAGUCACUAUUAAGAAAAGCUCGACUUGUCGCAAAGAUGUUUUCGACAAGAUCAAACAGUUGACUAUGAUGAGACUUUUUCACUCGUAGCGAUGCUAAAGGUCUGUUAGAAUUAUGUUAGUUGUUGAUGCAUUAUUUAUGAAAUAUUGCACGUAGGAUGUCAUAACAUUGUUUUCUCGACGGUUUCCUUGAGCAAACAUUGUAUGUGAUACAACCAGAAGGUUUUGUCGAUCCUAAAGAUACUAGCAAGUAUGCAAGCUCCAGUGAUCCUUCAAUGGACUGGUGCAAGCAUCUCAGAGUUGGAAUAUACACUUUGAUGAGAUGAUCAAAGAUUUUGGGUUUGUACAAGGUUUAUGAGAAACUUGUAUUUCCAAAGAAGUGAGUGGGAGCACUAUAGAAUUUCUGAUAAGUAUAUGUGGUUGACAUAUUGUGGAUCAGAAGUAAUGUAGAAUUUCUGUAAAACAUACAAGGUUGUUUGAAAGGAGUUUUCAAAGGAAUACCUGGAUUGAGCUACUUGAACGUUGAGCAUCAAAGAUCUAUGGAGAUAGAUCGAAAGCGCUUAAUGGAAGUUUCAACAAGAUGCAUGCCUUGACAAGUUUUUGAAGGAGUUCAAAAUAGAUCAGCAAAGAAGGAGUUCUUGGUUGCGUUGUGAGGUGUGAAUUUGAGUAAGACUCAAAACCCGACCACGGCAGAAUAAAGAGAAUAGACGAAGGUCGUCUUCUAUGCCUUAGCCGUAGAAUCUAAAGUAUGCGAUGUUGUGUACCGCACCUGAUGUGUGCCUUGACUCAAAGUAUGUUGAGAGGUACAGAGAGUGAUCCAUGAUUGAAUCACUAGCAGCGGUCAAAAUUUAUCCUUAGUAACUAAUGGACUAAGGAAUUUUUCUUAAUUAUGGAGGUGGUUAAAGAGUUCGUCGUAAAGGGUUACGUCGAUGCAAGCUUUGACACUAAUCCGAAUAACUAUGAGUAGUGAAACGGAUUCGUAUAGUAGAGUAUAUAUUUGGAGCAUUUCCGAAUAGCACGUAGUAGCAGCAUCUAUAAGAUGACAUAAAUAUUUGUAAAGAACGCACGGAUCUGAAAGUUUCAGAACCGUUGACUAAAACCUCUCUCACGAGCAAGACGUGAUCAGGCCCCAUAACUAUAUGGGUGUUGGAUUCGUUGGAAUCACAUGGUGAUGUGAACUAGAUUAUUGACUCUAGUGCAAGUGGGAGACUGUUGGAAAUAUGCCAUAGAGGCAAUAAUAAAUUAGUUAUUAUUAUAUUUCUUAUUUCAUGAUAACCGUUUAUUAUCCAUGCUAUAAUUAUAUUGAUUGGAAACACAAUACUUGUGUGGAUACAUAGACAAAACACUGUCCCUAGUAAGCCUCUAGUUGACUAGCUCGUUGAUCAAAGAUGGUCAAGGUUUCCUGGCCAUAGGCAAGUGUUGUCACUUGAUAACGGGAUCACAUCAUUAGGAGAAUCAUGUGAUGGACUAGACCCAAACUAAUAGACGUAGCAUGUUGAUCGUGUCAUUUUGUUGCUACUGUUUUCUGCGUGUCAAGUAUUUGUUCCUAUGACCAUGAGAUCAUAUAACUCACGGACACCGGAGGAAUGCUUUGUGUGUAUCAAACGUCGCAACGUAACUGGGUGACUAUAAAGAUGCUCUACAGGUAUCUCCGAAGGUGUUCGUUGAGUUAGUAUGGAUCGAGACUGGGAUUUGUCACUCCGUGUGACGGAGAGGUAUCUCGGGGCCCACUCGGUAAUACAACAUCACACACAAGCCUUGCAAGCAAUGUGACUUAGUGUAAGUUACGGGAUCUUGUAUUACGGAACGAGUAAAGAGACUUGCCGGUAAACGAGAUUGAAAUAGGUAUGCGGAUACUGACGAUCGAAUCUCGGGCAAGUAACAUACCGAAGGACAAAGGGAAUGACAUACGGGAUUAUAUGAAUCCUUGGNNNNNNNNNNNNNNNNNNNNNNNNNNNNNNNNNNNNNNNNNNNNNNNNNNNNNNNNNNNNNNNNNNNNNNNNNNNNNNNNNNNNNNNNNNNNNNNNNNNNCCUCUGCCUACUCCUCUCUCGGUCAUCCGACGUGUCUCGGACGUCCCGCGGCUAAACUCAUUCCGGACGUCUGGCCAGUGUCGGUCGUCCGACGGCUAAAUCCACUCCGGACGUCCGACACAUCGGCGACCUAUAAAUAGAAGGGCGCGGGCUGGGCUUUGCCCUAGCCCCCACGCGCCUCCUUUUUCCCCCAGCCGCCGCCGCCAGCACCAGGAGAGCUCGCCCGCGCUGCCACCUCCGGGAUCUGCCUGAUCUCCUCCGCGGGAUCCGAUCUCCUCCACAGGAUCCAUCUCUUCUUCCUCUCCUCUCUCGAUCUGCAGGUAUCUCCUCCGUUCCCCUCGCGUUUGGUUCCCUUUUCUCUCAAGUCCACGUGUUCGUUCAUAUGGUUUGACCAUGACCGUUCCCCAUUGGGUUUCCACCCGUGUAGGCUUUUGUUCAUCAUGCCCAAGAUUAAGCACGCCGCCCGGAAGGACACUGCUGGCUCAUCCGCUCGUGCCCCUGCUAGCACGGGGUCGGACUCGGAAGGGCAACGUCGUCCCUUCAAACGGACUUCCCGGCGUCCUCCGUCUCAACAGCUCCCCUCGUCGUCUGAUGGCUCUAACUUCGAGGAUAAGCUUGCCGCCGAGGACCGUGCUGACCAGCCCGCUGUUCGGAGGUCUAUGCCCAAGCCUGGGACUCGCAGGCCCUCCUAUAUGCCACCACCUCCUCCUGAACAGCCCGAAGGUGAAGCUCGUCGCAUCUCACUUGAACCUCCUGCUACUUUAGGUCGUGAAGUCACGAACUUCACCAUGGUUGCUAAGUCUUCCUACUUCACUUUCCGCCGCGACGUUGAUCAAUUCUCUGUCGUACGUGACUCUAUGGACUCACGUUUCCGCACAAACGUCCAGGCGGACAUCUUUACUACGGUCAUAGUUCCUAAGGGUCUCUCUGUUCAUCACUUCAUAGAUCUUGAGCAUAUUCGCACGCACCCGGUGAAAUACCCAGGUGCCAUUGAGCUCAUUGAGUCAUCGGGGCUUGCUGCCCCCUUUGCUUUUCGUCGCGAUUUUAACGUUGCUGCUAUUCACCAGUUUUAUGCCACAUGUUUCUUUGGUCCAAACAACACUGUUAGCUGGAUCACCUCUGACAUUCACUUCACAGCCUCUUCUGAUACGUUUGUUGCCGUACUUGGUUUCCCCAACUCCGGUUUCAAAAUCCAUAAGAAUGAUCCUAACCAUGCACAUAAGCCAAUUGAGGCGUGUGGGUAUCUUCUCAAACCACUCUGUGAACUUGAUGCAGACGAACGCAUGAAGGAUCUUAACCAGGUAUCCAUCUGGCGCUCUCCUUACUUUAUCAUCUUUCAGUGUCUUAUCCGCACCAUCUAUCCCAAGAUGGGUGAUAAGGGAUCCUGUAGUGGCUACUGUAUUGACAUCAUGUCCCACUUGUACGAGCACCCCAAGAGCAAAAUUAAUGUGCCUCACUUUCUAUGGCAAGAGAAUCGGCUUGCUAGUUUCCAAUACAAGCGAGCCUUCCCUCAUGCCCCCUUCAUCCAGGCUCUUAUUAACCAUGUUGCUGACUUCACUGUUGCUGUCACUCAUACACAUCACAAGUGGAUCAUUCCCGCUCACAUGGCGGAUAACUAUGCUCCCAAGAAAACCCCAUCAUCCACCUCCACUCGCCGCACUGUUGCCCGUUUAGCAACCCCUUCAUCCAGCUCAGCUCCUCUCGGUCGCUUUGCCAAAUUCAUUGGCAAGGCACAUUCUACUAUGAUGAAGGCCAUCUCUUUCUAGUGUGGUCAAACCCAUGAUGUGGUUUCUCGCCUCAUCUCCUCCAAGAAUGCCCUCAAGGCUCGUCUGAGAGACUCGGGCGCUCUUGAUGUGAGUGAUGAUGAGGCCCUUCCUGCUGCUCCUCCUUCUGACUUUGGCUUCCCAUCUGGUCCUGAGUGGGCUGAUUUUCUUGACGAGGCUGGUGGCAGUGGCUUGCCUGACGAUGAGGAUGAUGAUGAUGAUGAUGCUGAUGAUCUCUGAGCAUGGUUGAUGCUGUUGGUGCCUCCCUUUUUGGAACUUGGUGCCAAAGGGGGAGUAAUGUAUCGUAGUUUUUAGUCUUUGGAGAUUUAGUCUAAAUUUGCAUGUUUGUGUAAUGUAAUGGAUAAACCCAUGUAUGGCUACUUAUGAAUAUUGUGAUUGCUAUGGAUUUCUAUGAUAUCAUCAUAGGCUAUUAUGUUUUUCUCCACUACUUCUAUGAUGAUCUAUUAUCUUUACAUGAUGAUCCAUUAUAUUUUCGAUACACACAUUAAAAGGGAGCUCCGCUAUUUUAUCAUGCACAUACUAAGGGGGAGCUCCGUACUAAACCUCUCCAAGGCUAUAAUGUAUGUUAAAUAUUUUGAGACCUAUGUAUAUGUUGUCAUCAACUACCAAAAAGGGGGAGANNNNNNNNNNNNNNNNNNNNNNNNNNNNNNNNNNNNNNNNNNNNNNNNNNNNNNNNNNNNNNNNNNNNNNNNNNNNNNNNNNNNNNNNNNNNNNNNNNNNAUGAUCAACACACAUUUGUUGAAAUAUGCCCUAGAGGCAAUAAUAAAGUAGUUAUUAUUAUAUUUCCUUGUUUAAGGUAAUUGUUUAUUAUCCAUGCUAGAAUUGUAUUGAAUGGAAACUCAUAUACAUGUGUGGAUACAUAGACAACACAUUGUCCCUAGUAAGCCUCUAGUUGACUAUCUUGUUGAUCAAAGAUGGUUAAGGUUUUCUAGCCAUAGACAAGUGUUGUCACUUGAUAACGGGAUCACAUCAUUAGGAGAGUUGAUGGACAAGACCCAAGAUAUGAACGUAGCAUGUGAUCGUGUCGUUUUAUUGCUACUGUUUUUCUGCAUGUCAAGUAGAUAUUCCUAUGACCAUGAGAUCAUGUAACUCACUCACACCGGAAGAAUACCUUGUGUGUAUCGAACAUCGCAACAUAACUGGGUGACUAUAAAGGUGCUCUACAGGUAUCUCCAAAGGUGUCCGUUGAUUUAGCAUGGAUCAAGACUGGGAUUUGUCACUCCGUAUGACGGAGAGGUAUCUCGGGGCCCACUCGGUAAUACAACAUCACAACAACCCUUGCAAGCAAUGUGACUAAAAUUUAGCCACGAGAUUUUGUAUUAUGGAACGAGUAAAGAUACUUGCCGGCAGUGAGAUUCAAAUAGGUAUAGAGAUACCCACGAUCGAAUCUCGAGCAAGUAACAUACCGAAGGACAAAGGGAAUGUUAUACGGGAUUAACUGAAUCCUUGACAUAGAGGUUCAACCGAUAAAGAUAUUCAUAGAAUAUGUAGGAGCCAAUAUGGACAUCCAGGUCCCGCUAUUGGUUAUUGACCGGAGAGUGUCUCACGUCAUGUCUGCAUAGUUCUCGAACCCGCAGGGUCUGCACACUUAAGGUUCAAUGAUGUUUCAGUAUAGUUGAAUUAUGUAUAUUGGUGACUGAAUGUUUUUCGGAGUCCCUGAUGAGACCCCGGACGUCACGACGAGUUCUGGAAUGGUCCGGAGACGAAGAUUGAUAUAUAGGAAGGGUACAUUUGGCUUCCGAAAGGAUUUCGGGCAUUGCCCGUAAAGUACCAGAAAUGACGAAUGGGUUCCGGUGUUCCACCGAGAGGGGCCACCCACCCGGAGAGGGAGAAAGUAGACCCAAGGGUGGCGCACCAGGCCCUAGUGGGCUGGGCAGCCAGCCAAGAGGUCCUACUUCAGCUGAAGAGAGAAAGAGAGAGGAGUUGGGCCAAACCGACUAGGAGGAGGACUCCUCCCCUCCUUGCGCGGGCCAAACCCUAGGGCAAGUCCAUAGGGCACCACCCCUCCCUCCUUCUCUUAUAUAUAGUGGAGGGUAGAGAGGCUUCUUGCACCCAAGCCACGGCGCAACCCUCUCUCCUUCAACUACUUCGUGACACCCCAUAGGUUAUUUCGGUACGGCACGGCGAAGCCCUGCCGGAGUAACUCCACCACCAUCGUUGUCAUGCCGUCGUGCUACCGGAGAAUUCAGCUACCUCUUCGUCUCUCUUGCUGGAUCAAUAAAGCGGAGAUUGUCAUCGAGUUGUACGUGUGCUGAACGCGGAUGUGCUGUCCGUUCGACGCUAGAUCAGGACGGAGUUCGUGGGACGGAUCGUGAUUGGAUCACGAAGAUGUUCGACUACAUCAACCGUGUUUCUUAACGCUUCUCGCUUAGCAAUCUACAAGGGUAUGUGGAUCCGAUCUCUCCUCUCGUAGAUGGUCAUCACCAUGGAUAGAUCUUAUGUGUGCGUAGGAAUUUUUUUGUUUCCCAUGCAAUAUUCCCCAACAGUGGCAUCAUGAUCUAGGUCUAUUCGUAGAUGACAUCUCGAGUAGAACACAAAGGAGUUUGUGGGCGUCGAUAUUCAGAUUGCUUCCCUCCUUAGUCUUUUCUUGAUUCGGCGGUAUUGUUAGUUGAAGCGGCCCGGACUAACAUUACCCGUACGCUUACGAGAGACCGGAUUCAUCGACCAACAUGCAACUUGUUGCAUAAAUAUGAUUGGUGGGUGUCUGUUUCUCCAAUUUUAGUUGAAUCGGAUUUGACAAAGGCGGUCCUUGGAGAAGGUUAAAUAGCAACUUGUAUAUCAUCGUUGUGGUUUUGCGCCAGUAAGAUGCGAUCAUACUAAAUGCCCAUAGCAACCACGUAAAACAAGCAACAACAGAUUAGAGUACGUCUAACUUGCUUUUGCAGGGUAUGUUGUGAUAUGAUAUGGCCAAAGACAUGAUAUGAUAUAUUUGAUGUAUGAGAUGAUCAUAUUGUAAUAGUUAAAUAUCGACUUGCACGUCGAUGCUACGGCAGCUGGCAGGAGCCAUAGGGUUGUCUUUAAUUAUUUUGCGCCCGUUGAUGCUUUGCUUUAUCGCUAGUUCAAUAGCUUUAGUAGUAGCAACAUAGUUGGCAUGACAACGUCAAUGGAAGCACAAUGAUGGAGAUCAUGGUGUGGCACCGGUGACGAUGGAGAUCAUGCCGGUACUUUGGUGAUGGAGACCAAGAAGCACAAGUUCAUGGCCAUAUCAUGUCACUUAUGAUUUGCAUGUGAUGUUAAUACUUUUAUGCACCUUAUUUUGCUUAGGACGACAGUAGCAUUAUAAGGUGACCCCUCACUUAAAUUUCAAGAUAAUAUUGUGUUCUCCCCGAGUGUGCACUGUUGUGACAGUUUGUCCUUUCGAGACACCACAUGAUGAUCGGGGGUGAUAGACUCUAUGUUCACAUACAACAGGUGCAAGACAGUUUUGCACACGCGGAACACUUAGGUUAAAAUUGACGAGCUUAGCAUGUAGAAACAUGGCCUCGGAACACAAGAGACCGAAAGGUCAAACAUGAGUCACAUAGUAGAUAUGAUCAACAUAGAGAUGUUCACCAUUGAAGAUAACUCAACUCACGUGACGAUCGAACUUGAGUUAGUGAAUUUGGAUCAUGUGUCACUCGAAUGACUAGAUGGAUGUCAACUUGAGUGGGAGUUAUAAGUAAUAUGAUUAACUAAACUCAUUAUCUUGAACAAUAGUCUAAGUAAUCUUUGCAAAUUUAUGUUGUAGAUCAAUGGCUCGCGCAGUAGCACCCGUGAAUUUUAAUGCGUUCCUAGAGAAAGCUACGUUGAAAGAUGAUGGGAGUAACUUUGUGGACUAGGCCCGUAAUCUGAGACUUGUUCUCAUGGUUUCCUAGAAUAAUUAUGUCCUUGAUGCACCACUAGGUGACAUGCCACCCCAACCGGUGACCCAAGAUGAUAUGAACAUCUCGCAAGCUCGUCUAGAUGACUACUCAGUAGUUCCAUGUGCAAUUUUGUAUGGCUUAGAACCGGGACUUCAAAGACGUUUUGAACAUCAUGGAUCAUAUGAGAUGUCCAGGAGUUGAAGUUUAUCUUUGAGAAGAAUACUCGGAUCGAGAGGUAUGAAACCUCCGAUAAGUUCUAUGCCUACAAAAUGGAGGAGAACGGGUCUGUCGGUGAACACAUACUCAGAAUGUGUGGGUACUCUAAACGUCUGGCUGAGUUGGGAAUUGUUCUCCCGCCACAGGCAAUCACUGAUAGAGUUCUUCAAUCAUUGCCACCUAGCUAUAAAGGCUUUGUGUUGAACUACAAUAUGCAAGGAAUGAAUAAGUCAGUCGCUGAGAUGUUUGCGAUGCUUCAAGUUGUUGAGUCAGAAAUCCAGAAAGAACAUCAAGUGUUGAUGGUCAAUAAAACCACUAGUUCCAAAAAAACGGCAGAGGCAAGAAGGGUAACUCCAAGAAGAGUGGCAAAGUAGUUGCUCCUUCGACGAAGAAACCCAAGACUGGACCUAGGCGAAAAUCGAGUACUUUCAUUGCAAGGGGACUGGCCACUAGAAGCGGAACUGCCCCAAGUAUCUGGCCGAUAAGAAGGCGGCCAACGCCAAACAAGGUAUAUUUGAUAUACAUGUUAUUGAUGUGUACCUCACCAUCUCUCGUAGUAGUGCCUGGGUAUUUGAUACUGGUUCUGUUGCUCACAUUUGCAACUCAAAGUAGGAACUACGAAAUAAACGAAGGCUGACGAAGGAUGAAGUGAUGAUACGCGUGGGAAACGGUUCCAAGGUUGAUGCGAUCGCUGUUGGCACACUCUCACUUCAGUUACCAUCGGGAUUAGUGAUGAACCUGAAUAAUUGUUAUUUAGUGCCCGCGUUAAGCAUGAACAUUGUAUGUGGAUCUUGUUUAUUGCGAGACGGUUACUCAUUUAAGUCAGAAUAAUGGUUGUUCUAUUUAUAUGAGUAAUAUCUUUUAUGAUGAUGCACCCAAUGUGAGGAUUUUAUUCAUAUUGGAUCUCGAUAGUGAUGAUACACAUAUACAUAACAUUGAUGCCAAAAGAUGUAGAGUUAGUAAUGAUAGCACCACUUUCUUGUGGCACUGCCGCUUAGGUCAUAUUGGUAUAAAACGCAUGAAGAAACUCCAUGCUGACAAACUUCUGGAGUCACUUGAUUUUAAAUCACUUGAUACAUGUGAACCAUGCCUCAUGGGCAAGAUGACUAAGGCAAGAUGACUAAGACUCCGUUCUCCGGAACAAUGGAGCGUGUAAGUGACUUGUUGGAGAUCAUACAUAUUGAUGUGUGUAGACCAAUGAGCAUAGAGGCGCGCGGUGGUUAUCAUUAUUUUCCCACCUUCAGAUGAUUUGAGUAGAUAUGGUUAUAUUUACUUGAUGAAACACAAGUCUGAAACGUUUGAAAAGUUCAAGCAAUUUUAGAGUGAAGUUGAGAAUCAUCGUAACAAGAAGGUCAAAUUCCUGCGAUCUGAUCGAGGAGGUGAGUAUCCGAGUUAUGAUUUUGGCACUCACUUAAGACAAUGUGAACUGUUUCACACUUGAUGCCGCCUAGAACACCAUAGCGUAAGGGUGUGUUCGAAUGUCUUAAUCGCACUUUAUUAGAUAUGGUGCGUUGUAUGAUGUCUCUUACCGAUUUGCCGUUAUCGUUUUGGGGUUAUGAAUUAGAGACAACUGCAUUCACUUUAAAUAGGGCACCAUCAAAAUCUGUUGAGACGACGCCAUAUGAACUAUUGUUUGGCAAGAAGCCAAAGUUGUCAUUUCUUAAAGUUUGGGGAUGUGAUGCUUAUGUCAAAAAGCUUCAGCCUGGAAAGCUGGAACCCAAAGCGGAAAAGUGUGUCUUCAUAGGAUACCCAAAAGAGACAGUUGGGUACACCUUUUAUCUCAGAUCUGAGGGCAAAGUGUUUGUCGCUAAGAACGGAGAUUUUCUUGAGAAAGAGUUUCUCUCGAAAGAAUUGAGUGGGAGGAACAUAAAACUUGAUGAGGUUAUAGAACCUUUGCUUCAACCAGAUGGUGGCGCAGGACAGAAAGAUGUUUCUGUCGAAGCUACACUAGUUGAAGAGGAAGCUAAUGAUGAUGAUCAUGAAACUUCAGAUCAAGUUGCCAUCGAACCUCGUAGGUCGACAAUGGCACAUACUGCUCCUGAGUGGCACGACAACCCUGUCUUAUCAAUCAUAUUGUUAGACAACAAUGAACCUACGAGCUAUGGAGAAGCAAUGGUGGGACCGGAUUCCAACAAAUGGUUGGAGGCCAUGAAAUCCGACAUAGGAUCUAUGUAUGAAAACAUAGUGUGGACUUUGGAAGUAUUACCUAAAGGGCGAAAGGCCAUUCAAAACAAAUGAAUCUUUAAGAAGAAGACAAACACGAGCGAUAAUGUUACCCUCUAUAAAGCUCGACUCGUGGCAAAGGGUUUUUCACAAGUUCAAGGAGUUGACUAUGAUGAGACUUUCUCACCCAUAGCGAUGCUUAAGUCCAUCAGAAUCAUGUUAGCAAUAGCUGCAUUUUCCGAUUAUGAAAUUUGGCAGAUGGAUGUCAAAACAACGUUCCUUAACAAUUUUCUUAAGGAAGAGUUGUAUAUGAUGCAACCGCAAGGUUUUGUCAAUCCAGAGAAUGCUCACAAAGUGUGCAAGCUCCAGUGAUCCAUUUAUGGACUGGUGCAAGCAUCUUGGAGUUGGAAUCAACGCUUUAUGAGGUGAUCAAGGCGUUCGGUAUACAAGUUUAUGGAGAAGCUUGUAUUUACAAGAAAGUGAGUGGGAGUUCUAUAGUGUUUCUAAUAUUAUAUGUGGAUGACAUAUUGCUGAUUGGAAACAAUAUAGAUAUUUUGGGAAGCGUAAAGGAUUAUUUGAAUAAAAGUUUUUCAAUGAAGGACCUAGGAGAAGCUGCUUGCAUAUUAGGCAUUAAGAUCUAUAGAGAUAGAUCAAAACGCUUAAUAGGACUUUCACAUAGCACAUACCUUGACAAAGUUUUCAAGAAGUUCAAAAUGGAACAGUCCAAGAAAGGGUUCUUGCGUGUGCUACAAGGUGUGAAGUUGAGUAAGACUUAAUGCCCAGUAACCCCAGAAGAUAGAGAAAAGAUGAGUGUCGUCUCCUAUGCUUGAGCCAAAGGCUCUAUCAUGUAUGCAAUGUUGUGCACUAGGCCAGAUGUUAGCCUUGCCAUAAGUAUGGCGGGAAGGUUUCAAAGUAAUCCAGGAAUGGAGCACUGGACAACUGUCAAGAAUAUUCUGAAGUACCUGAAAAGGACUAAGGAAAUGUUUCUCGUUUAUGGAGGUGACAAAGAGUUCGUCGUAAAGGGUUACGUCAAUGCAAGCUUUGACACUGAUCCAGAUGAUUUUAAGUCACAAACUGGAUACAUAUUUUUUUCUAAAUGGGGGUGCGGUAAGUUGGUACAGUUCCAAGCAAAGCAUGGUAGCUGAUUCUACAUGCGAAGCGGAGUACAUAGCUACCGCAGAGGAUGCUAAAGAAGGUGUAUGGAUGAAGAAGUUCAUGACAGAUCUUGGAGCUGUUCCUAGUGCACUAGAUCCAAUGACUCUGUUGUGUGAUAACACUAGUGCCAUUGCUCUAGCCAAGGAACCAAGGUUUCACGGGAGGACCAGACACAUAAAGCGACGCUUCAAUUCCAUCCGCAAUUACAUCAAGGAAGAGGACAUAAAUAAUUGCAAACUGCACACGGAUCUGAAUGUUGCAGACCCGCUGACUAAGCCUCUUCGACGAGCAAAAGAUGGUCAACACUAGAACUGUAUGGGUGUUAGAUUCGUUACAUUGUCAAUCAUAUAGUGAUGUGAGCUAGAUUAUUGACUCUAGUGCAAGUGAAAGACUGUUGGAAAUAUGCCCUAGAGGCAAUAAUAAAAUAGUUAUUAUUAUAUUCCCUUGUUCAAGAUAAUCGUUUAUUAUCCAUGCUAGAAUUGUAUUGAAUGGAAACUCAGAUACAUGUGUGGAUACAUAGACAACACACUGUCCCUAGUAAGCCGCUAGUUGACUAGCUCGUUGAUCAAAGAUGGUCAAUGUUUUCUAGCCAUAGACAAGUGUUGUCACUUGAUAACGGGAUCACAUCAUUACGAGAAUGAUGUGAUGGACAAGACCCAAACUAUGAACGUAGCAUGUGAUCUUGUCGUUUUAUUGCUACUAUUUUUCUGCAUGUCAAGUAUAUAUUCCUAUGACCAUGAGAUCAUGUAACUCACUCACACCGGAAGAAUACCUUGUGUUUAUCAAACGUCGCAACGUUACUGGGUGACUAUAAAGGUGCUCUACAGGUAUCUCCGAAGGUGUCCGUUGAGUUAGCAAGGAUCAAGACUGGAAUUUGUCACUCCGUAUAACGGAGAGGUAUCUCGGGGCCCACUUGGUAAUAUAACAUCACAACAAGCCUUGCAAGCAAUGUGACUAAAGAGUUAGCCACGGGAUUUUGUAUUAGGGAAGGAGUAAAGAGACUUGCUGGCAACGAGAUUCGAAUAGGUAUAGAGAUACCGACGAUCGAAUCUCGGGCAAGUAGCAUACCGAAGGACAAAGGCAAUGUUAUACGGGGUUAACUGAAUCCUUGACAUAGAGGUUCAACCGAUAAAGAUCUUCGUAUAAUAUGUAGGAGCCAAUAUGGACAUCUAGGUACCGCUAUUGGUAAUUGACCAGAGAGUGUCUCAGGUCAUGCCUGCAUAGUUCUCGAACCCGCAGGGUCUGCACACUUAAGGUUCAGUGACGUUUCGGUAUAGUUGAAUUGUGUAUGUUGGUGACCAAAUGUUGUUCAGAGUCCCGGAUGAGAUCCCGGACGUCACGAGGAGUUCCGGAAUGGUCCUGAGACGAAGACUGAUAUAUAGGAAGGGUACAUUUGGCUUCCGGAAGGAUUUUGGGCAUUGUCGGUAAAGUACCGGAAAUGACGAAUGGGUUCCGGGGUUCCACCGGGAGGGGCCACCCACCCGGAGAGUGAGAAAGUAGACCCAAGGGUGGCGCACCAGCCCCUAGUGGGCUGGGCAGCCAGCACAAGAGGGCCUACUUCGCCCAAAGAGAGAAAGAGAGAAGAGUUGGGCCAAACCGACUAGGAGGAGGACUCCUCCUCCACCAAGCCAAUUUGAAGGAGGACUCCUCCCCCUCCUUGUGCCGGCCGAACCGUAGGGCAAGUGCAUAGGGCGACACCCCUCCCUCCUCCUUCUAUAUAUAGUGGGGGGUAGAGAGGCUUUUUGCACCCAAACCACGGCGCAAACCUCUCUCCCUCCACUACUUCGUGACACCUCGUAGGUUUUUUCGGUAUGACACAACUAUUGGGGAACGACGCAUGGGAAACAAAAAUUUCCUACGCACACGCAAUACCUAUCCAUGGUGAUGAUCAUUGAUGACCCACAAGUAUAGGGGAUCAAUCGUAGUACUUUCGAUAAGUAAGAAUGUUGAACCCAGCGAGGAACAGAAGGAUCUGAUAAGUGGUUUUCAGCAAGGUAAUAUCUGCAAGCACUGAAAUUGUCAGUAACAAGUGAUUGUGUGGUGAGAUGAUUCGUAGCAAGCAGCAAGUAACAAAAGUAGCAACGGUGCAGCAAAGUGGCCCAAUCCCUUUUCUAGCAAGGGACAAGCCUGGACAAAGUCUUAUAGGAGGAAAAACGCUCCCGAGGACACACGGGAAUUUCUGUCAUGCUAGUUUUCAUCAUGUUCAUAUGAUUCACGUUCGUUACUUUGAUAGUUUGAUAUGUGGGUGGACCGACUCUUGGGUACUGCCCUUACUUGGACAAGCAUCCCACUUAUGAUUAACCCCUCUCGCAAGCAUCCGCAACUAUGAAAGAAGAAUUAAGACAAAGUCUAACCAUAGAAUUAAACUAGUGGAUUCAAAUCAGCCCCUUACGAAGCAACACCCUAAACUAGGGUUUAAGCUUAUGUCACUCUAGCAACCCAUCAUCUACUUACUACUUCCCAAUGCCUUCCUCUAGGCCCAAAUAAUGGCAAAGUGUUAUGUAGUCGACGUUCACAUAACACCACUAGAGGAAAAACAACAUACAACACAUCAAAUUACCGAAUGAAUACCAAAUUCACAUGACUACUAUUAGCAUGACUUAUCUCAUGUCCUCAAGAACAAAAGUAACUACUCACAAAGCAUAAUCAUACUCAUGACCAGAGAGGUAAUGAGUAGCAUCAAGGAUCUGAACAUAAACUCUUCCACCAAGUAAUCCAACUAGCAUCAACUACAAAGAGUAAUUAACACUACUAGCAACCUUACAAGUACCAAUCGGAGUCGUGAGAUGGAGAUUGGUUACAAGAGAUGAACUAGGGUUUGGAGAUGAGAUGGUGCUGAUGAAGAUGUUGAUGGUCACGAGUCCCCUCCGAUGAGAGGAGUGUUGGUGAUGACGAUGGCGAUGAUUUCCCCCUCCGGGAGGGAAGUUUCCCAGCAGGAUCGUCCUGUCGGAGCUCUAGAUUGGUUUUGCUCAACUUCCGCCUCGUGGCGGCGGCGAAUCCAAGAAAAAUCUCCCUCUUGAUUUUUUUCUGGACGAAACCCUUCAUAUAGCAGAAGAGGAGGUCCAGUGGGCCAGCAGGCAGCCCAAUAGGCCCCAAGGCGCGGCCACGGGGGGUGGACGCGCCUAGUAGGCUUGUGGCCACCUGGUGGUGCCCCUCUGGCACUUCUUUGGCCCAGUAUUUUUUAUAAAUCCAGAAAAAAAUCAUCGUUGAUUUUUACGGCGUUUGGAGUUGCGCAGAAUAUGUAUCUCAAACUUGCUCCACUUUCAGGCCAGAAUUCCAGUUGCCGGCAUUCUCCCUCUUCAUGUAAACCUUGCAAAAUAAGAGAGAAAAGGCAUAAGUAUUGUACCAUGAAGUGAAAUAACAGCCCAAAAAGCGAUAAAUAUCAACAUGAAAACAUGAUGCAAAAUGGACGUAUCAACUCCCCCAAGCUUAGACCUCGCUUGUCCUCAAGCGAAAGUCUAGCUCAAUAAAUAUGUCCACAUGUUUAGGGAGAGAGGUGUCGACAAAACAAGAUACGAACAUGCAUGCAUCAUGAUCAUGAUCAGAACAACAAUACCAACAUAUAAUCUCUCAUGCUAAAGUGACAAUUCCUUCACAAAGUAAAGCAUGAUUCAAGAACCUUACCGAGAAGUAACAACCGAUAGCCUUUAGUCAUUGAAGCAAUUGCAAUUUAUGACAACAUCAGAAAGAGUCAAAUAAGAGCUUGUAAAGCAAAUCCACAUACUCAAUCAUCCUUUCGUUCUCUACAAUUGCUACAACUCACGUGGUAUUCAUGAGAUAAAAGUUUCAGCUGGACACAGAGAAAGAUAGGGGCUUAUAGUUUUGCCUCCCAACUGCUUACCUCAAGGGUAAUGUCAACAAUAAUAAUUCAUGAAUACUUACUUCAAAGUUGACAUAUGAAUAUAGAUCUUUCCCUAGCAUAUGAUGUUAGCCAAGAUAAAGGCGAAACAAGGAAUUGGUGAAGAUCACCAUGACUCUUUCAAGGGCAAAAAGUAAAGGUACAAGACAGACCCUUUGCAGAGGGAAGCAGAGGUUGUCAUGCGCUUUUGAGGUUUGGAUGCGUGUCCUCUUAGUGCGGAGGAACGUCACUUUAUAUUGCAUCCUGUGAUAAAGAACUUUAUUAUGCAGUCUGUCGCUUUUAUGUCUUCCUCAUCACAGGUUCGUACAAAGCUUAUUUUCCACACACUAAUAGAUCAUACAUAUUAGGGAGCAAUUUUUAUUGCUUGCACCGAUGACAACUUACUUGAGGGAUCUUAUUCAAUCCAUAGGUAGGUAUGGUGGACUCUCAUGGCAAAACUGGGUUGAAGGUUUAUGGAUGCACAAGUAGUAUCUCUACUUGGUGCGGGAGUUCUGGCUAAUAUGAGGUGGAAGCAAUCGUCACGUGCUAAGGGAUCUCUAAUCAUAUAACAUUGUUCGGAACCAAGCAAACACAAUUCAUUAUGUUGUCUUCCUUGUCCAACAUCUACUUGUAGGCAUGCAAUAGUUUAGUGAGUGUUCACAAUCAUAGAUGGUGUCAAAGAUGAUAUAUUUAUAUGUGAACCUCUCCUUCUUUAUCACUUCCUAUUAAUUGCAACAAUGACCAAGGUCUACGUUUGUCUACCCUCAACAAGUUUCAAUCAUCAUUCUUUUUAUAUGUGAAGCCAUCACUUCCCAUAAUAUCAUUGCAUGAUCUUUCAUGCUUUUGUUCUUUUCUCAUCUUUUGAUCAUAGCAUGAGGCAAAGCCCUUCAACUAAGACGCUCUUUAUUAUAUGGCUCACGAGCUUGAAUACAUCGGGGGAGACACAAAGCAAAACUCAAGACUAAACACUAAGACUUUUAUUCUACUAGAGAAAAAGAAAACUGAAAAGGAACAAACUAAAACAAAGGUAAAGGCAAAAUAUGUGAUGGUGAUACGAUACCGGGGAAACUCCCCCAAGCUUGGCACAAGCCAAGGGGAUUGCCCAUACCCAUGCUCAGUUGUCUUCCUUUGGAGGUGAUGGUGGUGGAGUUGCUGCAAUCUUUGAUUCCAAGAGGGACAUCAAUCUUUGAUUUAUGCCUUCGAGAUCGGUGAUAUGUUUCUCCAGCAAAACAACUUCACGAGUGAGAUAAGUAUUGCGAGCACGAGUUGUUUCACAAAACCUCAAGAGUUCAAUCAAGGAUGGAGAUGUUGGGGAACGUCGCAUGGGAAACAAAAAUUUUCCUACGCGCACGAAGACCUAUCAUGGUGAUGUCCAUCUACGAGAGGGGAUUUCCGAUCUACGUACCCUUGUAGAUCGCACAUCAGAAGCGUUAGUGAACGCGGUUGAUGUAGUGGAACGUCCUCACGUCCCUCGAUCCGCCCCGCGAACCGUCCCACGAACCGUCCCGCGAUCCGUCCCACGAUCUAGUGCCGAACGGACAGUACCUCCGCGUUCAGCACACUACAGCUCGACGAUGAUCUCGGCCUUCUUGAUGCAGCAAGAGAGACGGAGAGGUAGAUGAGUUCUCCGACAGCGUGACGGCGCUCCGAAGGUUGGUGGUGAUCUAAUCUCAGCAGGGCUCCGCCCGACCUCCGCAGAAACGUCGAGUCUAGAGGUAAAACCGUGGAGGUAUGUGGUCGGGCUGACCUUGAAAAAGUUAUCUCAAAUCAGCCCCUAAUAGCUCCAUAGUAGUAUAGGGAGGAGGGACGGGGAGGCUUGCCUUGAGGCUCAAGGAGCCCCAAGGGCUGCGCAACAAGGGGAGGAGGAGUCCUCCUCCAAUCCUAGUCCAACUAGGAUUGGAAGGUGGAGUCCUUCUCUCCCUUCCCACCUCCUUUUUUUCUUUUCUCUUUGAUUUCUUAUCUAUGGCGCAUAGGGCCUUCUUGGGCUGUCCCACCAGCCCACCAAGGGCUGGUGCACCACCCCAAGGCCUAUGGGCUUCCUCGGGGUGGGCUGACCCCCCCCCCCCCYGGUGAACACCCGGAACCCAUUCGUCAUUCCCGGUACAUUCCCGGUAACUCCGAAAACCUUCCGGUAAUCAAAUGAGGUCAUCCUAUAUAUCAAUCUUCGUUUCCGGACCAUUCCGGAAACCCUCAUGACGUCCGUGAUCUCGUCCGGGACUCCGAACAACAUUCGGUAACCAACCAUAUAACUCAAAUACGCAUAAAACAACGUCGAACCUUAAGUGUGCAGACCCUGCGGGUUCGAGAACUAUGUAGACAUGACCCGAGUGACUCCUCGGUCAAUAUCCAAUAGCGGGACCUGGAUGCCCAUAUUGGAUCCCACAUAUUCUACGAAGAUCUUAUCGUUUGAACCUCAGUGCCAGGGAUUCAUACAAUCCCGUAUGUCAUUCCCUUUGUCCUUCGGUAUGUUACUUGCCCGAGAUUCGAUCGUCAGUAUCCGCAUACCUAUUUCAAUCUCGUUUACCGGCAAGUCUCUUUACUCGUUCCGUAAUACAAGAUCCCGCAACUUACACUAAGUUACAUUGCUUGCAAGGCUUGUGUGUGAUGUUGUAUUACCGAGUGGGCCCCAAGAUACCUCUCCGUCACACGGAGUGACAAAUCCCAGUCUCGAUCCAUACUAACUCAACGAACACCUUCGGAGAUACCUGUAGAGCAUCUUUAUAGUCACCCAGUUACGUUGCGACGUUUGAUACACACAAAGCAUUCCUUNNNNNNNNNNNNNNNNNNNNNNNNNNNNNNNNNNNNNNNNNNNNNNNNNNNNNNNNNNNNNNNNNNNNNNNNNNNNNNNNNNNNNNNNNNNNNNNNNNNNCAACAACAACCUGCAGCUAUAGCAACCGGGACAGCAACAACAACAACUUCAGGCAGCAGCAACGCCAAGCAGCGGCAGCAGUAGGUUACACUAGCAGCAAAUAUGACAGCAACAACAUGCAAGCAAGCAGGCGACAGCAAAACGGCGGGCAACAGCAAAACGCAGCAAUCUACCUCGGCAGGAGGAGGCCGGGACCUGGAGCAAGGCGGCUCGGCAAGGGAACGGGCGGCCACCGGCGGCUGCGGUGAGCACAGCAGCAGACCGGCGAGGCGGAGCUGCACGCGGGGAGGCCGGCGAGGACGACCACGAGGCGGCGCGCGGGGGCGGCGAGGGGAGGCGAGGCCGAGGCCAUGGCGGCUGCGGCGUGGCCCACGGGACUAGGGCGGGGCUCCUCGUCGUGCUCGUCAUGCCCGAGGCAUGGGACAUGGGAGCGCCGCCACACGGGGCCGUCGGAGGAGCUCCAGGCUCCGGCUGGCAGGGGAACCGACGGGGAACCUGCUCGGCCAGGGAGAUCCGGCUGGCAGCGAGGGAACGGCGGGUGGGGCGCGCGAGGGACGCCGGCGGCGGGAGCGCAGGCGGCGGGGCUGCUCGGGAGAGGGAGGAGAAAACGGGAGGAGAGGGGAAUCGGGGGUAGGAAGGAGACGCGAGGGAGCUGGGGAUCUCGGGCUCCUGGCUCUCGCCGCUAGGGCAGGGGAUCGGCUGGGCCUUGGCCCAAGUGGGCCUCCUCCUCUUUCCCUAUUGUUUUUCCUUUUUUUUAAAGAAAACAGCAANNNNNNNNNNNNNNNNNNNNNNNNNNNNNNNNNNNNNNNNNNNNNNNNNNNNNNNNNNNNNNNNNNNNNNNNNNNNNNNNNNNNNNNNNNNNNNNNNNNNGCUGUCUCACCAGCCCACUAAGGGCUGGUGCGGCACCCCAAACACCCAUGGGCUUCCCCGGGGUGGGUGGGCCCCCCCGGUGAACUCCCGGAACCCAUUCGUCAUUCCCGGUACAUUCCCGGUAACUCUGAAAACCUUCUGGUAAUCAAAUGAGGUCAUCCUAUAUAUCAAUCUUCGUUUCCGGACCAUUUCGAAAACCCUCGUGACGUCCGUGAUCUCAUCCGGGACUCCGAACAACAUCCGGUAACCAACCAUAUAACUCAAAUACGCAUAAAACAACGUCGAACCUUAAGUGUGCAGACCCUGCGGGUUCGAGAACUAUGUAGACAUGACCCGAGAGACUCCUCGGUCAAUAUCCAAUAGCGGGACCUGGAUGCCCAUAUUGGAUCCUACAUAUUCUANNNNNNNNNNNNNNNNNNNNNNNNNNNNNNNNNNNNNNNNNNNNNNNNNNNNNNNNNNNNNNNNNNNNNNNNNNNNNNNNNNNNNNNNNNNNNNNNNNNNNNNNNNNNNNNNNNNNNNNNNNNNNNNNNNNNNNNNNNNNNNNNNNNNNNNNNNNNNNNNNNNNNNNNNNNNNNNNNNNNNNNNNNNNNNNNNNNNNNNNNNNNNNNNNNNNNNNNNNNNNNNNNNNNNNNNNNNNNNNNNNNNNNNNNNNNNNNNNNNNNNNNNNNNNNNNNNNNNNNNNNNNNNNNNNNNNNNNNNNNNNNNNNNNNNNNNNNNNNNNNNNNNNNNNNNNNNNNNNNNNNNNNNNNNNNNNNNNNNNNNNNNNNNNNNNNNNNNNNNNNNNNNNNNNNNNNNNNNNNNNNNNNNNNNNNNNNNNNNNNNNNNNNNNNNNNNNNNNNNNNNNNACGAUGAUCUCGGCCUUCUUGAUCCAGCAAGAGAGACGGAGAGGUAGAAGAGUUCUCCGGCAGCAUGACGGCGCUCCGGAGGUUGGUGAUGAUCUUGUCUCAGGAGGGCUCCGCCCGAGCUCCGCAGAAACGCGAUCUAGAGGUAAAACCGUGGAGAUAUGUGGUCGGGCUGCCGUGGCAAAGUUGUCUCAAAUCAGCCCUAAAACCCCACUAUAUAUAGGAGGAGGAGGGGGGAGACUUUCCUUGGGGUCCAAGGACUCCCAAGGGAGUCGGCCGAGCCAAGGGGGAAGGUCUCCCCCUCCCAAACCGAAAUCCACUUGNNNNNNNNNNNNNNNNNNNNNNNNNNNNNNNNNNNNNNNNNNNNNNNNNNNNNNNNNNNNNNNNNNNNNNNNNNNNNNNNNNNNNNNNNNNNNNNNNNNNGAGCGGAGCUGCGGGAGCCGGUUCGAGCGGGGCUGCUGGCUGGCUCGAGCGGAGCUGCGGGAGCCGGAUCGAGCGGCAUCGCUAGAGAUCGAUCGCUUGUUGGCCGGAUCGAGCGGGGAUGCUGGAGAUCGAUCGCCUGCUGGCUUGUUCGAGCGGAGCUGCGGGAGAACCAGCAGGAUCGAUCCAACCGGGACGAGCAGAAGGAGGAGAUCGAGGCCGGCAGCUUCGAUCAGGGAGGAGAGACGGAUCAAUCGCAUGAGUUGUAGCGUGCAAAAAAUGACCUAGCUCUGAUACCAUGUUAGGAAAUAUGCAACUUGUAUUCCCAUGAGGCCAUAGGCCGAGAUAUAUAUACAUGUACAUGUGUGGAAUAUAUGUAGGAAACCCCUUAUACAAUGAGAUAAGUACAAAAGGGUACAUGGCUAUAUUAUAUAUACUCUAACGUCCACAACUUAAUUGGAGGCUCCCAACAACACCACGAAGCUUCACCACAAUGGCAUAUGUCUUCUAGGUGACCAGAAAUGCUCGAGGCAAUCUCCACAACUUAAUUGGAGACCCCGACGCUUGCCCAGAGCUUUACACCACAAUGAUUGAGCUCCAAGGCACCACCAAGCUUCUAGGAUGCCAAAGCAUCCAUGAAGAACAAUCUCUAGGGGUACCAAGUACCCAAGGGUAAUAAGCUUCUCAACUUCUCACUUCCACGUAUCACCGUGGAGAACUCAAACCGAUGCAACUAAUGCAAUGGCAAGAACACACGAGGUGGUCAAGUCCCUCACACUAUGAAGAAAUAUCAGAGGGAGAACAAGGAGCUCACAAAGAACUCCAAGAUCAAGAUCCAAGGGGUUGCCCUCACACAGAGGAGAAAGUUAUUGGUGGAGAUGUGGAUCUAGAUCUCCUCUCUCUUUUCCCUCAAGAACUAGCAAGAAUCAUUGGAGGGAUUGAGAGUUAGCAAGCUCUAAGAAGGUCAACAAUGGGGGAAGAACACGAGCUCAACAGAUGGAUAAGAUCCAAUGGGGAAGAAGACCCCCUUUAUAUAGUGGGGGAAAGAAUCCAACCGUUACCCCUACUCAUAGCCCGAGCAGAGCGGUACUACCGCUGCUAGGAGCGGUACUACUGCACGGUAGGUUCACCAACCACGGUAGUAAAAAAUCAAUUCCGUACCUACCACUGCUGAGGCUGCGACUGUGCAAAAGUCCGACGACACGGUAGUAUCGGACGGUACUAACGCCACAGAGCGGUAGUCGGUACUACCGUUGACACCCGCGGUACUACCGCUGGCAACUGAAAUUGCCAUAACUUUUGCAUACGACCUCCGAAUCGAGCAAACUCAAGCUUGUUGGAUUCACGACGACAACAACAAUCUAAACAGCGANNNNNNNNNNNNNNNNNNNNNNNNNNNNNNNNNNNNNNNNNNNNNNNNNNNNNNNNNNNNNNNNNNNNNNNNNNNNNNNNNNNNNNNNNNNNNNNNNNNNAGUUAUCCAAAGGGAUAUGAAAACUUCCACCUUCAUGUGCAUUGAAUAGUUAGAGAAGUUUGAUUCAUCUCAAUUAGUUUUGAGUUGUGGUUGUGGUAAUAUUGAAGUUAUAUUAGUAAGGUGUUGUGGAUCUAGAAAUACUUGUGUUGAAGUUAGUGAUUCCCGUAGCAUGCACGUAUGGUGAACCGCUAUGUGAUGAAGUCUGAGCAUGAUUAGUCUAUUGAUUGUCAACCUUUGUGUGGCGGUCGGGAUCGCACGAUGGUUUAUACCUACCAACCCUUCCCCUAGGAGUAUGCGUUGAAUGCUUUGUUUCGAUUACUAGUAUAACUUUUACAACAAGUAUAUGAGUUCUUCAUGACUAAUGUUGAGUCCAUGGUUUAGAUGCAAUUUCACCUUCCACCAUCUCUAUCUUCUUUAGUGCCGUGCAACUUUCGCCGGUGCAUAAAACCCACCGUUAGCCUCCCUCAAAACAGCCACCAUACCUACCUACUAUGGCUUCUUCAAAGCCAUUCCGAGAUAUAUUGCCAUGCAACUACCACCAUGACAUGUGCCACCACUUAUACAUUGCCAUUGCAUGAUCAUAAGAUAGCUAGCAUGAUGUUUCCAUUAAUGUCUAUGCCAUGCUAGAUCAUUGUCACGGUACACUACCGAAGGCAUUCCAUAUAGAGUCAUAAUUGCUCUAAGUUUUGAGUUGUAAGUGUGAUGAUCAUCAUUGAUGGAGCAUUGUCCCAUGUGAGGAAAUAAAAGAGGCCAACGAAGCCCAUUUACAAAAAGAGGCCAAAUAUGCCCACCAAAAAAAGGAAAAAGAAAAAAAGAGGCCAAAGAGCCCACCAAAAAAAUGAGAGAAAAAGAGAGAAGGUACAAUGCUACUAUAUUUCCACACUUGUGCUUAUUAAGCACCAUGAUCUUCAUGAUUGAGAGUCUCUCGUUUUGUCACCACCAUAUAGCUAGUGGGAAAUUUUCAUUAUAUAAUUUGGCUUGUAUAUUCCAAUGAUAGGCUUCCUCAAAAUUUCCUUAGGUCUUCGUGAGUAAGCAAGUUGGAUGCACACCCACUAGUUUUCUUUAAGAGCUUUCACAUACUCUUAGCUCUAGUGCAUCAUUUGUAUGGCAAUCCCUACUCAUUCACGUUGAUAUCUAUUCAUGAGCAUCUCCACAACACAUUGAUAUGCCUAGUCAAUGUGACCAUCUUCUCCUUGUUUGUAUUGCAACCUCCACUACACCCCAUUCCACUUUUAGUGCUAAAACCAUGGCUCAUGCUCAUGUAUUGUGUGAGAGUUGAAAAAGUUUGAGAAAGUAAAGGUGUGAAAACAAUUACUUGGCCAAUACCGAGGUUGUGCAUGAUUUAAAUACGUUGUGCAAGGAUGAUAGAGCAUAGCCAGACUAUAUGAUUUUGUAGGGAUAACUUUCUUUUGGCCUUGUUGUUUUGAAAGUUCAUGAUUACCUUGCUAGUUUGCUUGAAGUAUUAUUGUCUCCACAUCAAUAGCGAACUAUUGUUUUGAAUCUAAUGGAUCUGAACAUUCACGUCACAUAAGAGGAGUUACAAAGGACAUCUAUGCUAGGUAGCAUGAAAGCAUCAAAAAUUCAUUCUUUAUCACUUCCCUACUCGAGGACGAGUAGGAGUUAAGCUUGGGGAUGCUUGAUACGUCUCAAACGUAUCUAUAAUUUUUGAUGGUUUCAUGUUGUUAUCUUGUCAACUUUGGAUGUUUUAUAUACCUUUUUUUAUAUGUUUGGGACUAACUUAUAAAUUUAGUGCCAAGUGACAGUUCCUGUUUUUUCUGUGUUUUUGACCCUUUCCAGAUAUGAUUUUGGAACGGAGUCCAAACGGAAUAAAAUCCCCGAAAUAAAUUUUUCCAGAACAGAAGAAGAUCGGGGGACUUGAGGGCCAAGGCAGGGGCCCACAGGGAGCCCACAAGCCCUGUUGCCGUGGCCAGGGGGCCCCGUGGCAACCAGGCUUCUGGCCUCCCUGACGCUCCCCUGCCCUAGCUCUUUGGCCUAUAAAUUCCCUAAAAUCCCAGAAAAAAUUAGGGCAUCCACGAAAACACUUUUCCACCGCCACAAGCUUCCGUUUCCACGAGAUCUCAUCUGGAGACCCUUCCCGGUGCCCUGCCGGAGGGGACUUUGGAGCUGGAGGACCUCUACAUCAACAUCAUCGCCCCUCCAAUGACUCGUGAGUAGUCCACUUCAGACCUACGGGUCCGUAGUUAGUAGGUAGAUGGCUUCUUCUCUCUCUUGGAUCUUCAAUACAAAGUUCUCCAUGAUCUUCAUGGAGAUCUAUCCGAUGUAAUCCUCUUUGGUGGUGUGUUUGUCGAGAUCCAUUGAAUUGUGGAUUUGUGAUCAGAUUAUCUAUGAAUUAUAUUUGAGUCUNNNNNNNNNNNNNNNNNNNNNNNNNNNNNNNNNNNNNNNNNNNNNNNNNNNNNNNNNNNNNNNNNNNNNNNNNNNNNNNNNNNNNNNNNNNNNNNNNNNNCCUGAGACAAGAUCAUCACCAACCUCCGGAGCGCCGUCAUGCUGCCGGAGAACUCUUCUACCUCUCCGUCUCUCUUGCUGGAUCAAGAAGGCCGAGAUCAUCGUCGAGCUGUACGUGUGCUGAACGCGGAGGUGCCGUCCGUUCGGCACUAGAUCGUGGGACUGAUCGCGGGAUAGUUCGCGGGGCGGAUCGAGGGACGUGAGGACGUUACACUACAUCAACCGGUUCACUAACGCUUUUGCUGUACGGUCUACAAGGGUACGUAGAUCACACAUCCCCUCUCGUAGAUGGACAUCACCAUGAUAGGUCUUCGUGCGCUUAGGAAAAUUUUUGUUUCCCAUGCGACGUUCCCCAACAGCAUCAUGGCAUCAUGCAUGGCAUCAUGUCAACUGUGUUUUGUCGGUGUUGCUUGUUGCCGUGUUGUGGGGUGUUAGUGCCUUGUGAGUGACGUUGUUUUAUUGGAGUGUUGAGAGAGGGUGCGUGAGAGCCACCGCUAAACCCUGUUGCACCGCGGACCUAAAACCUUCUCACCCCUCUUUUAUUUGUUUCGUGGUUUGCUAAAGUUUCUGUUUUAACCCUUUUAAAAAAUGCGUCUUCUUUAAAAAAACUUUUAUUAAAUGUGGGGGCAACCCUUGGGUUUUUCUUUUAUUCCCCCUCUUGUUUUAUUUUACAAAAUAAAGUCUCAUUUCCUUUUCUCCUUUAAAAGGGGUUUAUUUUUAUUUUCUUGUUAAAAGGGUUUUAUUUAAUUCUUAAGAAAAAGGUUUCAUUUUGAUUUCUUUAAAAAAAUGCCCAAAACUAUUUCUUAUAGUGGGGUUUGUUUUAAAGGAGUUAAAAGGUAUUUUUUAUCUUUGUUAUAAAAAAAUCCUUUCCUUUUGGUGUUGCUGUUUUCUUUAAAAAAAAGGAAAAACAAUAGGGAAAGAGGAGGAGGCCCACUUGGGCCAAGGCCCAGCCGAUCCCCUGCCCUAGCGGCGAGAGCCAGGAGCCCGAGAUCCCCAGCUCCCUCGCGUCUCCUUCCUACCCCCGAUUCCCCUCUCCUCCCGUUUUCUCCUCCCUCUCCCGAGCAGCCCCGCCGCCUGCGCUCCCGCCGCCGGCGUCCCUCGCGCGCCCCACCCGCCGNNNNNNNNNNNNNNNNNNNNNNNNNNNNNNNNNNNNNNNNNNNNNNNNNNNNNNNNNNNNNNNNNNNNNNNNNNNNNNNNNNNNNNNNNNNNNNNNNNNNGCAUUCGCUCUGUGUGGUAGCAAUGUCUAUGCUUUGCGGGUUGUAGGGCAAUGCAACUUGAGCAAUAGGGUGGAACAUGCCUGUUGAACUUGUGAUGUUUUUGUUGUUACUACUAGUGUUGCAGUGUAACGGCGUAUUUCUGAUGCAUCCUCCUGUUCGAUCAUUAAACUCCCAAUCCAGAGGUGACUUCUGAGAGAAGUUCAUCAUACAGUCACAGAAUGGCUGUGCAAUGCCGUUGCAGACUGUGAAAGGUCCGCAGGUAGCAGCCGGAGUGCAGGGAUCGGCAGGCUGGGUAUAUAUAAUUUGCCAAGACUGAUUGGCUUGUGACCAAACAUUCAGCUUUAUCAGACCAGAGAUGUCUAGCGAGACAAACGUGGGAGAUGAUUCAUCCGGUGAAGUGUACGUGUAGUACUCCUCUUGGUUGUUAUCAACAUAUGCUGGGUUAAUCAAACCUUUGGUCCGUGGAUCCAAAUCCAGAAAGGACUUGAGUAUUGGUAUAAGAUUCAAUGAUGAUGUUUUGGAGGAUGCCUAAUGCCAAUACACUACCAAGGGAUGGCGGCGCUUGAGGACGAUCCCCGUGGUUUCUUCUAAUUCAACGUUUUAUGAGCUAAGACCCGGAUCAAUGAGGCUCUUCUUUGAGAUGCUCCGACGAAUCAAGCCGGUGACCUUGUUCCGGCCAAACUUGGAACCAGGAAGAAAAAUAUCUGUUGGGUAAUCAAAGCUCUGCCACAAUGGUAGGUCAGAUGAUGAUGGGCUGUAUGUGACCGUAAGGGCAAGGUUUCCACUGUUCAAGAGAACAGCAGCACCAGUAGUGGUGUUUAUGCUACUGGUUUGUGUCCUAUUAUUGACAAUCUGAGUGGACCAAACUACAGAAUCGUUGUUCAAGAUGACAAGAUUGCCAUCGCUCGAUAUCUUGAGCUGUGUUAGGUUGAGGUUGGGGCCAGUGAUGGGCUGGUCCCUAUUAGCAACCCACACAGUAGUAAAAACUGGGAUCUUGUUGAACCAUAUGCCAAGGUACCAGCUGGAGCUGGUGGUAUUCUGGGACUUACUGAUGAUGCUUG
rnacentral:lncRNA from 1 species